AUUGAACGCUGGCGGCAGGCCUAACACAUGCAAGUCGAGCGAGCGGCGGACGGGUGAGUAAUGUCUGGGAAACUGCCUGAUGGCGGGGGGUAACUACUGGAAACGGUAGCUAAUACCGCAUCCCAUCAGCUGUGCCGAGAUGGGAUUAGCUCGUAGGUGGGGUAACGGCUCACCUAGGCGACGAUCCCUAGCGGGUCUGAGAGGAUGACCAGACACGCUGUAACUGAGACACGAUCCAGCUUCCGACGGGAGGCAGCAGUGUGGAAUAUUGCACAAUUGGCGCAAGCCUAAUGCAGACACGCCGCGUGUGUGAAGAAGGCCUUCGGGUUAUAAAGCACUUUCAGCGUGGAGGCGUUACCCGCAGAAGAAGCACCGGCUAACUCCGUGCCAGCAGCCGCGGUAAUAC
rnacentral:rRNA from 1 species